UACGAAGGGGGGCUAGCGUUGCUCGGAAUUACUGGGCGUAAAGGGCGCGUAGGCGGAUAGUUUAGUCAGAGGUGAAAGCCCAGGGCUCAACCUUGGAACUGCCUUUGAUACUGGCUAUCUUGAGUUCGGGAGAGGUGAGUGGAAUGCCGAGUGUAGAGGUGAAAUUCGUAGAUAUUCGGCGGAACACCAGUGGCGAAGGCGACUCACUGGCCCGGUACUGACGCUGAGGUGCGAAAGCGUGGGGAGCAAACAGG
rnacentral:rRNA from 1 species